UCUUCUUCUGCUCUGCUCCCAAGUUGUAGGUACAUACAAUACAAGUUCUAUGGAUUUUUUUGGUAGCCUAGGCAAGGGUGGAUGUAGAGGAGAUAAGUGUGUUCACCCGACCUCUUAGCAAUAAAUUAUACAAUGUAUUCCGGAAUCAAAAUGCGGUGCUUUUGGAAGGGUUUAUAUGGGGGAUGAAAGUUGAUUCCAGAGAGUUACUCACUGGCAUAGUUGGAGGUUAUAAGAAUGUAUACCAUGCAAUUAUUAUUAAGGACUAGACUACUUGCACGGGAAUGGAAUUAUGCACAGAGAUAUUAAGGGAGUAAACAUACCAGUUUACAUUAAAGGCUGCAUCAAACUAUCUUUGAAUUUGGUGUAUGAAAGAAGGUUGUUGAAUUGGCUUGCUAUUAUGACCGUUACAAAGUCAAUGAAGGGUACGCCAUACUGGAUGGCUCCUGAAGCUAUUCUGCAGACCAACCAUAGCUUGUCAAUUGAAGUACAAUUAUCAACUUAUUUUUUCUUAUCACCUAAAGCCAUGAAUGUUCAUAAAUAUUAACAGUCUAGUGUAAAUGCCCUUGCUAGUAGUGGUUUUUUGUUUGGGGG